rnacentral:rRNA from 1 species
GACGAACGCUGGCGGCGUGCCUAAUACAUGCAAGUAGAACGCUGAAGGAGGAGCUUGCUUCUCUGGAUGAGUUGCGAACGGGUGAGUAACGCGUAGGUAACCUGCCUGGUAGCGGGGGAUAACUAUUGGAAACGAUAGCUAAUACCGCAUAAGAGUAGAUGUUGCAUGACAUUUGCUUAAAAGGUGCAAUUGCAUCACUACCAGAUGGACCUGCGUUGUAUUAGCUAGUUGGUGGGGUAACGGCUCACCAAGGCGACGAUACAUAGCCGACCUGAGAGGGUGAUCGGCCACACUGGGACUGAGACACGGCCCAGACUCCUACGGGAGGCAGCAGUAGGGAAUCUUCGGCAAUGGACGGAAGUCUGACCGAGCAACGCCGCGUGAGUGAAGAAGGUUGUCGGAUCGUAAAGCUCUGUUGUAAGAGAAGAACGAGUGUGAGAGUGGAAAGUUCACACUGUGACGGUAUCUGACCAGAAAGGGACGGCUAACUACGUG